rnacentral:rRNA from 1 species
GAGUUUGAUCGUGGCUCAGAGUGAACGCUGGCGGUAGGCCUAACACAUGCAAGUCGAACGGCAGCACAGUAAGAGCUUGCUCUUACGGGUGGCGAGUGGCGGACGGGUGAGGAAUACAUCGGAAUCUACUUUUUCGUGGGGGAUAACGUAGGGAAACUUACGCUAAUACCGCAUACGACCUACGGUGAAAGCAGGGGAGUCUUCGGACCUUGCGCGAUUGAAUGAGCCGAUGUCGGAUUAGCUAGUUGGCGGGGUAAAGGCCCACCAAGGCGACGAUCCGUAGCUGGUCUGAGAGGAUGAUCAGCCACACUGGAACUGAGACACGGUCCAGACUCCUACGGGAGGCAGCAGUGGGGAAUAUUGG